UCUUAUGGAUGAGCAAAAAAAAAGUGGCUUCUUGAGAUGGAAUCUAUUCCUGGUGAAGAUGUUGUAAA
rnacentral:pre_miRNA from 2 species